GGUUUGACCAUGGAGAUAUGCGAGUAACGGACGGCGAGCUUGACCUCAGUCUAUUUCCGUGAUAGAAACACUGCAAGCUGCUCCAGUUUGCUGCUCUGCUGCAUCACAGACUGCUAAACACACCUGACUACAGGAGACAUUAGCUCAGACUGGCGGGGGUUGUUUAGUUGAUGCGGUUCGAGUACGGAUCACGUUCUCACCACAAACAAACUGCUCCAGAGUUUGAUUGACAGCGUACCGAGACCACCUCUUCAAGUAGGUCUUGGUAUGCUUGUUUGGUCUGCUUUUGGUGCGCACCAGAGUUUGAUUGCCGCAUUCUCACCUGGCCAAACUAGCCGCACCAGCGGGACAAACAAACUCUAGUUUCAUUCAACCAACCUAGUUCCAGGGUGAACACGCCCU